AAGCCAUGAUGGGGGCAUCUUCUAAGGAGGUCUUUGAAUCUCUCAUAAGCUUUAAAUAGUGUCUCUAACUCUCCUUGUUUCAAUGGCGAAAUUUCUUGCCUUGGCUU